UACUUAACGAAAUGGUAACAUAUACGAAUGUAACAUAGAACUAUUGUUGUCUUAUUCUAUUAUACGGUGUUUUAUGAAAAAACGCUACUUGCUAAUUUUCUUUUUUAAGGGAAUAUGUUAGUAAUAUAAAAUUAUAAGAGAACAAGGUUUGCUCGCGACCUUUUACUUUUGCAGACAGCGCAAGAGAGUCUGUCAAAUAAAUAAAUAAAUAAAUAAAACAAAAUAAAAUACAUAACACUUAAAACGAGAUAACAAACAAAAUCCGUUACAAAAAUAAAUUAUGGCUACAGAAUUCAAAAUGUCGAAAAGACAUACAAUGAAUGUAGAUAUCACAGAAUUAUAAUAUAAAAUAUUUCAUAUAAUACGGUGGUUCAGGUACAUUUGUUGAACUUAUAUUAGUCAAAACGGAGUGAGCUGAGCUCUUAAUAUUAUAUAUUUUUCUCUUUAGCCCCUAUGGGAGCCAGGAACUAUUUUAGAAUAAAAUUGUGGCAACAUAUGUUGGUCAUGAUCGAUGUCCGGGUUCUCGUUCAGUAUACCAACUGGAGAGAGAUAAGUUGAACUUGACCACUGCAGACUACUUUCCAACUCAUGAAUUUCAUUCAUCAGGGAGUUUUCGUGGGUGGCCAAUUUUUCAACAAAUACCCUUUGAUGGUGAAGUGCAUAUUUACAGAAGGGUUGGACUUCAGAGGUGUCAUAUAUUAUCUUCCGUUCAAAUAUUUCCAAUUCUUUGGCCACUAUUGGUGAGAUAGUGAACCAGAUUGGAAAUCCAUAUAACAAGACGGAUCUGAUGGUCACCUUAUAUAGGAGCAGCUUGGAUUCACGAGAUUUAAAUGGUAUCUCAACCCCAUCGAGAGCGGCGCGUAACAUUUUGCUUUGGGGUACUACUGACCGAUGACACUUUCCGGAAGCAUUCCUAAUACAGAUGGCCUCCGAUUUGGUAGGAUUUAUUUUAAUUCCCCAUGUUUUAUAAAAUUCAUGUAUCAACAUAAGAUGAGUUGAAACAUUGUGAAGAGCCUGGGCUGGUGAGGCGCUGUGGGCAUAAAUUAAGCAAUCAUCUGCGUAUAAGAUUGCCUUAGAGUUCUGUGUGGUAUGUGGAAAAUCAUGAAGAAAAAUAUUGAACAAAAAUGGGGCAAGUACGCUUCCCUGAGGGACUCCACUAUUUACAUACCCCAAUGACGAAGAUGAACUCUGUAUCUGGACGGUAAAUUUACGGUCAGAUAGGAAACUCUGGAUCAAUUUAACCAGAACGUGCUCAAAUACCUUUCCAAGAUUAGAAAGCAAGGAUAUAGGGCGGAAAUCGGACAAUUCCUCACUGUCGUUUUUCUUUUUUAUUGGGAUUAUUUUUGCCAACUUCCAAUCAAUGGGAAAAUAACAAUUGUUAAUACAAUGAUUUAUAAUACAGAGUCGGUGAAAUGGUAUCCAUCCGGAUUUGAAAAUACGUUAAAAUUGUCGUCAAAGGUGAAAAUGUGGUUUGGAAUUACCUCAAUACAAUUUAAGAUUCUUGAGUCAAGAUCAUCCACCGGCCGCUCUGAAGUUGUUCGACGAAAAUUUGAUGAAUAAAAGAUUCGGAAAUGAUCUGCAAUUUCCGCAGGAUUAGAUAUGACAUUAUCAUCGUGUCGUAUCUGUCGACACAGCGGAGAUUUCCUUCCCCCUGUAAAGUGCAUAUUCAAUUCCAACAGAUUCUUUAAUAAUUAUCUUCAGAAGUUGAAUUUGUUUAGAUAAUAUUUUGUAAUCACUGCUGAGUCUGUUUCCGGUGCGGUGAAAGAUAUUCUUCAGUUCCUUUUGCCAUUGGUACUUCAUUUUGAAGAGUUUUUUGGUUCUCUCCGAAAUUGGCGUUUUCUUGCAAUUAGUUAUUUGUAAUUUAUAAAUUAUAACAGUAAUAUUAUUAUCAUGUUAUCUUUGAAAAUUCUUUUGAAAAUAUUUUCAUUAUUACAUAAUAAUUAAUUUAUAUUAGAAUUCAAAAAACACAAAAUAUAAUAAUUUUAACUUUUUUAAUAAAUAAUUUAAUAUUUAAUAUAAAAUAAAAUUGAGAUCUUUAACUAACUGAUCCUACCUACAUAUUGGCGAUCCUGCCAGGAGUAAACAAAAUAUGUCUAUCUUUGUGUAAAAUUUGGAAGAA
rnacentral:lncRNA from 1 species